CACUGGAAUUUAUCACAAAAAAAUAUCAACAAUGAAACGUCUUAAUUGUUGAGAGAUAAAAUUUCAAAAAUUAAAAAAUUGAAUAGAAAGAUCUGAAAGUGUUCUUUGAGGCAUAAUUAGAAAGAGUAUAAUUAACAAAGUAAAUUAGAAGCUACAAAACGAUGGAAAAUAAAGUGCUUAAUCUGAAAAAUCAUGCGGAAUCACCAGAUUUGUAGCGGUACAGUUUUCCUAACACGUGGAGGGUUGUGACAAAUCCGAUGAAGCAUAGGCUCAUAACCAGCACCACCGUCGGGUGGUUGUGGCGGAAGCUGUGGAUUGAGAUUGAGAAGCGCCUCUGGCCAUGUUGAAGGGAGAGAGAAAGAGGAUUUGGAAAAUGAGAAAUCAAGAAAUCAAAAGUGAAUAAAUGGGAUUGAAAGAAAAAUAACAAGAGGACAAGAAUAAUGAUGAAAAUUUUGUAUUAUUUGGGGUUAUUAUUUAACACUUUUUUAGGGAUUUUGUAUUAUUUAAUACUUUCUGCUUAUCCAAUC